CUGUUGCUACAACCGCUCAAAACAGGUUCUAAAAGCCCGAGAGGCACCUGCAUGGCGAGUCUGAGUAUUAUA
rfam:Pontibacillus marinus BH030004 = DSM 16465 strain BH030004 contig146, whole genome shotgun sequence.